rnacentral:piRNA from 1 species
UGCCAUGGGAGAUGACCAGACACUGGGUC